CUGCUGAGCUUCUCCUUUUUAUAGAGACAUAGAUUUUCCAGUCUUGUCGGCUUCUGAAGGGUAAGAGAGCUUUCAAUCUCCAAAUUCCUCCUGUCUGUGGGCAUCCCGCGCUGUUCUGAAUCCACCCCUAUUGCAUUGCCUUUAAUGGUCCAAUGUCCUUCUGUUUCCUCUUUUAUUUUUAGUAUUUUUAAUAUGCCAUGUGCUGUUGCAAGCUCACUACAUGCAAGACUCCUUCGAUUUUCCUAAGAACCCCUGAAAUAGAAAUUACUAUUGUUCUUGCUUGACAGUCUUUGAGGCAAAGGGAUUUGAACAGCAAUAGAGGUGGUUCUGGAAUUUGGUGCUUGCCUUUGAAAACUGUGCAAGGUGAAGCUGUAAUAUCAGUAUUUUCACACCAAAGUCUAGCAGUGUGGGCAAUCUUCCUCUCACAUUUGAAGGAAUGAACUCUGGAAAUGAUAAUGAGCCACAGACUAGGGUCCUUACAUCUGAUCUGUCAAGGACAGAUGGAUGAAAGAUCCAGCAACCUGGCUAUUUCCUUAGAAACUCCUAAAACUCCUCAGACAGAAAGCUUGCAAAGCUACUACGGAGGAAGAAUUAAUUGCUCUGAUAAAGAGGUGAGUUCCAAUAUGCUGUAU
rnacentral:sRNA from 1 species